GACGGAGGGUGCUAGCGUUGUUCGGAAUCACUGGGCGUAAAGGGCGCGUAGGCGGCGUCGCAAGUCGGCUGUGAAAGCCCGGGGCUCAACCCCGGAGGUGCAGCCGAGACUGCGGUGCUCGAGGUCGGAAGAGGAGGGUGGAAUACCCAGUGUAGAGGUGAAAUUCGUAGAUAUUGGGAAGAACACCGGUGGCGAAGGCGGCUCACUGGCCCGUAACUGACGCUCAGGCGCGAUAGCGUGGGGAUCAAACAGG
rnacentral:rRNA from 1 species